rnacentral:rRNA from 1 species
AGCGAACGCUGGCGGCAGGCCUAACACAUGCAAGUCGAGCGCCCAGCAAUGGGAGCGGCAGACGGGAGAGUAACACGUGGGAACGUACCCUUCAGUUCGGAACAACCCAGGGAAACUUGGGCUAAUACCGAAUACGUCCGUAAGGAGAAAGAUUUAUCGCUGAAGGAUCGGCCCGCGUCUGAUUAGCUAGUCGGUGAGGUAACGGCUCACCAAGGCGACGAUCAGUAGCUGGCUGAGAGGAUGAUCAGCCUCACUGGGACUGAGACACGGCCCAGACUCCUACGGGAGGCAGCAGUGGGGAAUAUUGGACAAUGGGCGCAAGCC